rnacentral:tRNA from 1 species
AAGGGAGACCUAAUUCCGGUAGGAGACGAAAAAAAAGUAGUCCCUACCAAGAAUCAAUCCCAAAAGGUCGAAGCGAGGCAAGAUUGGCUUUCAAACUAGGUUCUGGGUUCAAACAAGACCUGAAUCAGGAACAAGGGCUAUUAGCUCAGGUGGUUAGAGCGCACCCCUGAUAAGGGUGAGGUCCCUGGUUCGAGUCCAGGAUGGCCCACCUGCACAGGUGGCAAAAACAAAGAAGCGAGGAAUCAGCACCUUAUCUUAUCUAUAUAUAAGAGAGAAUGCUGGCUCUGAGUAAAGAGUCCAGAGGAACCUUGAAAACUGCAUAGAGCUAGGUGAAAAAGCCAAAAAAGAAGACCGCAA